UCUCCGGAUUUAUUAAAAUCCAAUUAAAAUAUUAUAAAAAAUAUAA
rfam:Oryctolagus cuniculus chromosome 16, whole genome shotgun sequence.